AAUAGAUUUUCCAGUUGGGCUACAUGAGCAGAACAGUUCAGCAGGAAGGCUAUGUUCAGGAUAGUCAUUCAAGGGACCCCAGAUUGCAGAUGCUCCUCAACACAGACUGCCACAAUUGUCGUGCCCAGAUCCCAAAAUCUACUUAGCAAGAAGCCGUUGGCUGCAGAGACAACUUAUGAUUGUCAUCCAGCUGGGAAUCUCCCGACCUGCAGAAACCAGCCACUAAAGCAACUAUUCCAUGUUGGACUCCUGUUGUCAAUUCACUGUAUUCAUGCUUAAUGCAAUUUGUGUCUGAUUUGACCUAUGUGCCUGCCCUGGAUUCAUCCUUCUCCGGAACCACCUGCAACUAGGACAACUCUUCCAGGACUGAUCCUGUUAAAACAUGUCUUCAGUAUUGAUCCCAUUCUUCUCUGUGGUUUCAAAGCUUCAAGGUAACAUGGUUCCAGGUUUACAUCCAGCAAGAAAGAAAAAAAAUUCCUCCCUGAAUAACUCAAUAAAGAGACAUGGAAUUUGGGGAGUGAGGGCAUGAUUGGCCUGACUUGAGUCAUCUCUCCAUCUCUCCUACACCAAUCACUGUUGCCCAGAGGAGAAGCUUAUGAUUUUUGCAUUGGAGGACAGUAAUUCUUCUACCCAAGAAAUUGAUGACCUAAAGACAAGAAAUAGCCUCUUACUCAAGCACAAACUUCAGAAGAGAAUACAUCUUUAUUACUUGAUUUUCCUCAUGAUUCCAUUAUCUACCAGACCCUGCCUUUACAUCCCUCUCUAGCUAAUGUCCCCUAGGUCACUAAUUUCAAUUUUUUUUACUACUGUCUUCAAUUUACUCUCUGUCUUUCUACCAUACCCAUCAAGGCACUCUCUAAACAUAGAUAAAUAAAACUCUUUGCUUCUUUUUUCUCCUAAACACUGAAAAUAUUCAAAGAAACAUAUGAAAAAUUACUAAUUUUCAAAUUUACAUUUAUGCCCAUCCUUCUCAGAUGAGAAGAUAAUCACUCUUCCUUUCCUUGGCUCCUGUUCUCUUUCUCUUUAUUCUCUCUCCCAGGACACUCACCCCUCUCAUCCCCAAAUCUUUUUCCUUUCAGUGCCAAAUCCUUCCUUCCUAGCCAAAAAAGGACAGAUCUUGCCUAAGUCAUAUCCUAGGAGGUCUCAGCAGUAAAGUAUGCAGAACCAAGGGAAAAACACAAAGAUAAAUACCAAAGGAUCUUCAUUUGACACUGCUUCAUCACCACUACCCUGCUCUCCUACCAAUAAACUAUUACCCCACGAUCACAGAUCCCUCUCUGAGAAGUUACUCAGAUGCCGCGGCACAAAAGGAUCAACUUCUGAAUGCUGGGUGACUAGCAAGUCAUCCUAGGAAAGUCACAAUGAGUAUUCUAAUCAAAGUGAAGGGGUCUAAACAGAGAAUGGAGGCUGAACCGUGAAAAGCAAAACACUUUGGCAAAAAAAGGCAGAAAUCAGAGUAUUUUUCUGAAUUUCCACCAAUUUGGUGGAAAGCCAACUUCUAAAAGAGUAGCUCUUCAGUAAGCAGGUUUUGUACUAGCUCUGUAAUAGAAAGCUUAAAAGAUCAUUUACUAAUCUGAAUUUCUAUGAGGAGAAGCACAGCUACACUUGCGGGCAAGUGCUUCCUAGACCAUGAAAGAUCUUAAAGGUACCUGCUCACACUUUCAACUGUGAUGAGCUGGUGAAGACUGGCUCAAAACCUCAGCACUGGUGUUGUGAGAGAUGUUUGACAGCCCUGGAGUUCAAAGACUGAUGUGCUUUCUUCUACUGGCUCUACGUAUUGGAACUAAGUAAAAAUCUUGAAAGUGAAAUAUUCUCAGAAUAGGAUCAUUCACUUGAUAAGCUUAUUUUGACUUCCUGAGAAAGGAAAGGGCAGAAAAAGAAAGAAAAAGACAUUGAAUCUUUACUUUCUCUGUUGACCUUGAAAGCAAUGAUGUUAAUUGGAGUAUAAUUUAAUUUCAAACUAUUUUCAUUUAAAAACAAGAAAGGAAGAGGGGAA